CAGCGCCACGAGUGGCAAUCGUGUAUUUGGCCUAAAGCGUCCGUAGCCGGAUUUGUAAAUCUUUUGUGAAAUCGUUGAGCUCAACUUAACGGCGUGCAGAAGACACUGCAGAUCUCGAGACCGGGAGGAGAUAGAGGUAUUCUAGGGGGAGCGGUAAAAUGCUAUAAUCCCUGGAGGACCACCAGUGGCGAAGGCGUCUGUCCAGAACGGAUCUGACGGUGAGGGACGAAAGCCAGGGGAGCGAACCGGAUUAGAUACCCGUGUAGUCC
rnacentral:rRNA from 1 species